GAUGAACGCUGGCGGCGUGCCUUAUACAUGCAAGUCGAGUGGGUUUAGACCCACGGCAAACGGGUGAGUAACACGUAGGUACUUUCCUUGUCACAGGAAUAACCCUCCGAAGGGAGGGCUAAUACCUGAUGUGAUCGCAAGAUUAAAGGGUAUCCGCAAGGAUUACCGGACAAGAAGAGGCCUGCGGCCUAUCAGCUAGUUGGCGGGGUAAAUGCCCACCAAGGCUAUGAUGGGUAGCUGGUCUUAUGAGGAUGAUCAGUCACAUGGGCACUGAGACACGGGCCCAACUCCUACGGGAGGCAGCAGUAGGGAAUUUUGCGCAAUGGGCGAAAGCCUGACGCAGCGACGCCGCGUGCGGGAUGAAGGCCUUCGGGUCGUAAACCGCUUUUAUAAGGGACGAACUUUGACGGUACCUUAUGAAUAAGAGGUUGCUAACUCUGUG
rnacentral:rRNA from 1 species